rnacentral:rRNA from 1 species
AGUCUUUGACGCACAUUGCGCCCAUUGGUAUUCCAUUGGGCAUGUCUGUUUGAGCGUCAUUACAACCCUCGGUACCAACCGGUUUUGAGCGAGCGCGGGUCCUGACCCGGGCUGGCUUUAAAGUUGUAAGCUCUGCUGGCUGCUCAGCCCAACCAGAACAUAGUAAAACCUACUUGUUCAGCGGUCAGGUUGAAGCGGUACGGCCUGAACAAAACCUACCCAACUCUAAGGUUUGACCUCAGAUCAGAUAAGGAUACCCGCUGAACUUAAGCAUAUCAAUAAGCGGAGGAAAAGAAACCAACAGGGAUUGCCUCAGUAACGGCGAGUGAAGCGGCAAGAGCUCAAAUUUGAAAUCUGGAGCCUUCGGCUUCCGAGUUGUAAUUUGAAGAGGAUGUUUCGGUUGCGGCCUGGGCCUAAGUUCCUUGGAACAGGACGUCAUGGAGGGUGAGAAUCCCGUACAUGGCUGCAGGCUUGCUUCCAUGUGAAGCUCCUUCGAAGAGUCGAGUUGUUUGGGAAUGCAGCUCAAAAUGGGUGGUAAAUUUCAUCUAAAGCUAAAUAUUGGCGGGAGACCGAUAGCGCACAAGUAGAGUGAUCGAAAGAUGAAAAGCACUUUGAAAAGAGAGUUAAACAGUACGUGAAAUUGUUGAAAGGGAAGCGCUUGCAAUCAGACUCGCUUUCGGUUGAUCAACGUUCCUUUUGGUUCGUGCACUCUGCCGUUGGCGGGCCAGCAUCAGUUGAGGCGGUGGGACAAAGGUAGCGGGAAUNUGGCUCCCUCGCGGGA